UGGCGGACGGGUGAGUAAUGCUUGGGAAUCUAGCUUAUGGAGGGGGAUAACUACGGGAAACUGUAGCUAAUACCGCGUAGUAUCGAGAGAUGAAAGUGUGGGACCUUCGGGCCACAUGCCAUAGGAUGAGCCCAAGUGGGAUUAGGUAGUUGGUGAGGUAAAGGCUCACCAAGCCGACGAUCAGUAGCCGACCUGAGAGGGUGACCGGCCACAUUGGGACUGAGACACGGCCCAA
rnacentral:rRNA from 1 species